UACGUAGGUGGCAAGCGUUGUCCGGAAUUAUUGGGCGUAAAGCGCGCGCAGGCGGUCCUUUAAGUCUGAUGUGAAAGCCCACGGCUCAACCGUGGAGGGUCAUUGGAAACUGGAGGACUUGAGUACAGAAGAGGAAAGCGGAAUUCCACGUGUAGCGGUGAAAUGCGUAGAGAUGUGGAGGAACACCAGUGGCGAAGGCGGCUUUCUGGUCUGUAACUGACGCUGAGGCGCGAAGGCGUGGGGAGCAAACAGG
rnacentral:rRNA from 1 species